UUUUUUUUUUUCUUUUUAGGAGGUGCUUUGAGGGGACCAUACCAUGAGAACAAUACACAGCUGCUGCUGUAUAGAGAUAUCUAAUUGUCAAUAUUGUGGAAAUUCUACAGCUUAUUACGUGCAUUCAGUCUAAUUCUGGGCAAAUUGCCAGUCACUUCAGGGACAAUCAAGUGAGCCCCAUUACACGUGGUACAGCAUCACAGCUUUAAGAUACCCGGCUGUUUUGCCUCUGGCCAGAGAAUGUUUGUACCAGUGCUACCGAGUGAAGGGGGGUAACUACAAAUAAAAUAAAAUUUGUAUUUUUUCAAGUGGGCUGCAUUUCAAGUCCAGAUGUUAGUAAUGAAAGAUUCAAUUUAAGGAUUUAAAUUACAAAUAAAUAAAGUAUGAAACAGAUGUGAUUUUUAAGGAAGUUCAAAUUAUCCAGGAAGAAAAAUAUCUCUGUGCAUGACAAAGUAAUAGGGAUUGUCUUGAAGAGUCUGUUGAAGACAAUCUGCUGAGCGCAAUUCACCCUUAGGACAGGAUUGGUUUGGGAUGGGAAGGACUGGUGGAGCUUGUCAUUAAACAAAAAUUGUGUUUAAUAAAACUUUAUAACCGUGAUUAAUCCUAUGAGGCCCUAAAGGAGUUUGCAGUUUCUGAUAAACACAUUUUCCUUGUUUGCAAUGGUAAUGAUAUUUUGAAGUGAAUUGAGUAAGAACAAAAACUCUAAGGGUAGAAAAAAGGAGGGCUUGGCAGGUACCACCUAGGCAGAAAUUUCAGGGAUGUGUAAGAAACAGGGGCCAGCCAUUAGGAGACUGCCUUGACAUGUGUGCGACACACUCCCUCAUAGAUGGGGGCAAAUAUCACUAGAAACCAAGCUACGGAAGAGGCAGUAAUGAAGCAUGUCUCUAUUUAUACAGACAAGCUAAGAAGGCUUCUUUUAAUUCUAAGCUGAUCACUAGGUUUGCCUAUCAAAAGGGUGACAGUGACUUAAGACACAAAUUUAGAGAAUACUCCUUGAAAAUGAAAUCCGAAGGGACCAUCCAGAGUUGCCCUGUCCAGUAUAGGAGCCACUGGUCCUAUGUGGUUAUAUAAUUUAAAUUCAGUAAAUUUAAUAUAAAAUUUCCUGCAAACUACUACAUAUAGAAUGGAUACACGAGGUUCUACUACAUAGCCCAGGAAACUAUUCACUAUCCUGAGAUAAACCAUAAUGGAAAAGACUAUAAAAAAGAAUGUGUGUAUGUAUAUGUAUAACUGAAUCACUUUGUCGUAGAGCAGAAAUUAACACAUUGUAAAUCAACUAUACUUCAAUAUAAAUAAGUAAAUAAUAAAACAAAACUUUCCAUUUUUCCAUCAUAUCAACUACAUUUCAAGGACUCAGUAGCCCCAUCUGGCUAGUGGCCACCAUCCUGGGCAGUGCUGAAAAAGAACAUCACUCUCACAGCAGAAAGUUCUAUUGCAUGGCAUUAUUUCAGAGUGAGGCAGGAAGAUUAGAUUUGGACAUCAGUGGGGAGAGAGACCUUGAUGCUUGAUUCUCUUUAUUCCAGCUAUGGGACACGGUUCUCCAUGGUUUUAUCAUCCCAAAUCUCAAGAAUGCCUCUGUGCAUGGACAUAUGUGAUGCUCAAACUAGGCUGGUAAAAAUCAUUAUUACAGAGAGCUCUGGAGGCCCUAAGGAAAAGCUAACCCACAGGCCCAGCUCUGUUGACCCGGCCCCUCCUGCUGAUCAGUUAUCUCCAAUAGGUGACUGAGGACAAGCACUUUCAGAAGUUCAUCAUUGCUGUAGAGGCAUAACAUGCAUGCUGUAGCACCAACAACCAAACCUUGGCUAAUCAAAAGGCCACAAAAGUAAAUAAUUUUUGGUUGGCAACUUGGAUGUGGGGAAAUGCAAAUUUGCAAAGCAAUGGGCCUUUAAUAGGAGAACCAAUGCAGAAGAAAAAAAAAAAAGAGUUAAUCCCUCAGCAUACAAGCUCUAACAAUUGGGUCGUGUCUGUGGUGGAAAUCUUGCCUCCUGGGCAUCUCUCUGGUACCCACUGAGCAUCCUUGGAGUACCAGCUCACAGGCAAACCCAUCCUAGAAGAACCAUACAGCUUCUUUGUGCACAGGGCAUGAUCCCUCUGCCACAUGAACUUUUUCUGACUCCUUGGAACUGCCAGCAGCCAUUCCCCUUGGAUUCUGGCUGUGACAAAAGCAUCACUGCCUCCCCGGCAUCAGAUGGAAAAUGUAAUUUGAUGAAAACUCCAAAGUCAAAAUCUUUCAGAAGUCAAAACCCUUCAAUCUGUGCCAUACACUUGAGAGACUUUCAUAGGGGCUCUACACCCUAAGAGUGCUUUCAAACUUCAUACAUUUUCCUCUAUAUUAAAAUAGAUGCCUUUCCAUCAUCUCUCACAUGGCCCUCCCUCUUUCUCUAUUUACUGAAGGAUUUUUGUUUCAUAACACCACACAUAGUUCUCUCUCUAGCAGAUUAGGGUAAUGUGAGUAUUAAGGGAAUCCCAGUGUAGCAGAAAUUGAUACAACAUUGUAUACCAACUAUACUCUAAUAAAAAAUUUAAAAAUAAAAUAAAUAAAAGAAUACUAGCUUUUUGGGGAUGUUAGAGGUGGUCUAGUCCAGAGGUUGUAACUUGGGGUCCCCAGACAACUAGGAGAUUCAUAAAUGGGCUACAGGAAGCAUGGGAUUUUUUCAUUACAUAGAAAUUGUGUAUGUACAUUUUUCUGAGAAGAGGGUGAGCACUUUUAUCAAAGGCCAAAGAAAUGGUCAGCUCCAGCCCAUUUUUAAUAAGAAAACUGAGGCUCAGAGAAAUGAAUUAACCUUCUAGAAGUCACAUCAGUUAGCUGGACUCAAGUCAGACUGCAAACUCUUCUCCAGAGUCAUAGCAAACCACUAUGUUCACUAUAACAGACUACAGAGGGCAUUUUCCUCGGGUCAAAGUUAAUUCAAAAUCCUUGGAUCUUGUUGUAAGUCAAGAGAGCCCAAAAAAAAUCAGAAGUGAUGAUUUCAAGGAAAUGCUUUGUUGAAGGAGUGUAGUGUUCUGUGUUACUGUUACCCAGAUUCUCAAACUGUUACCUACAUUGAGGGAAAUUUGGAAAAUUCAAUAUUGCUUAGCAAGACUUAACUUUUUGCCUUUCCUUAAAUUUUGGAAUUAUUUUAGAAAGAGAAAUUCACCACUGGUUAUUUCCUAGAGGAAUAAUAUUUAUUUCAUUUUCAAAGACACUCAUUUACUGGGUUGUGCUAUAUGCCUUAGAUUUGGGAGUCAAGAUAAGCACAUAGAUAACCAGGAACUGCAUGUGUAUUAAUAUCACUUGCUCACCAGCAAUUCUGAAGAGCUUGAAGAGAAAAAAAAUUUGUUUUUGAACUGAAGCUUUUAAGACCCUUGAAGUAUGUUUAUUUAUUUCUUCUGCAGCAUGAUGGUUAAAAGCCCAAACUUUAAAGCAUAUGGACUUGGACUUAAUCUUGGCCCCAUCAUAGAAGUUUUGUGACCCUGGAUAAAUUGUUUAACCUCUCCAAACUGCAGCCUUCUCAUCUGUGCAAUGAAAAUAACUAUACGAACCACCUCACAGAACUGUUAUGAGGAUUAUUAUAAAAUAAUAAGCCCAAAGACUUUGUACUGUGUAUGGCACAGAGAAAUUGCUCAGUAAGGAUGAGCUCAUGAUUACAAUAAAUUUCAGAUGCCAAAGGUCAAAUCUUUUCAGGCGUGUAAAAAGAUCAACAAACCCAUUGUAGUAGGUUGAAUGAUGGCUCCUGAAAUGACGCAUCUGCCUCCUAAGUCCCAAACAUGUUCAGGUAACCUGAUUUGUAAAAAGGAUCUUUGCAGAUGUAAUAAAGUUAAAGAUCUUGGGAGGCAACCACCUUGGUUAUCCAGGUGGACCCUAAAUACAAUGAUGAGUGCCCUUACACACAGAGAAGAGAUGCACAGAAGGAGAGGAGAAAGCACAUGCAGAUGCAGGCAAUGGUUAGAGCCUUGCAACCUUGCCAGGGGUCUCCUGGAACCACUAGGAGCUGGACGUAGCAAGGAAAGAUUCCUGCCAGAACCAUAGGAAUGCAGCUGACCACACCAUGCUCUCAGACAUCUGGUCUCCUAAACUAGAAAAGAAUAUAUUUCUUUUGCUUUAAGCCACCAUGUUUGUGGUAAUUUGUUACAGAAGCCUUAGGAAAAAAAAAUACACCCACUAUGCCUUAAGUGCAAUUAUAUGUAUUAUUGAUACACACAAAGGCUUCAACAAUAUAAAACUGCAAUGAUUUUAAAGCAGGUCUCACACAUAAUAAAAAUGUUUUAUUUAUACUUAACAAAACUGGCAAAAAGUUAAUGAGAACUCCACCACUAGGCCACUGCAGAACUCCAGGUACCUCAUUCUUCUUGACAGUUUCCCUGGCAUCCAGGUCUACCUUCUGUACCAGAGUAACACGAUCUGCAGAAAAAUCUGGGGUCACUUCAGAAACUCACCCUCUUCUCCACCCCAACCUGCCGAUCCUCUUCUCUUGUCCUCUCUCAAAGAGAACAAACUCACAGGAAGCCCUGCACUUGGUUUCACAACAAAGAAGGGAAAAUGCACAGUUGCUCAAACACAGGAAUGACCCUGCUGACCACAUUAAAGGAGCAAGCUGAGGAAAGGGCAGCCCAAACAAAGACAUACACUGAUUCAGUCCUACCAAUGGAAUUUCUCUUCUGCCUCUUUUGAGGGUUCAGAAUAAUCAAAGGAGAGUGGUGCUGAGAAGGGGGAAAAAAAUUAAAACAAUUUUAUUUCACUCUAUUCCUGUAAGUCAAAUAAUAAUCUCUUUCAGAAUGUUUAUAUGCCCAUAAAAUGGCAUUGUCCAAACGGUAUUCAUCAAUGCCAAGUAAUUUUUUUCCAUUAAAAUGGUCAAACCAGUUUGGUCACUUGCCCUAAUGGCAAACAGGAUCAAAUACAUGACCCAUCUGAUCUGUGAGUGCUUGGCCCAAGAUCUCUCAUGUCUCCUUGAUGGGGGUCUGUGCACACAUCCCCACUCCCAGGUUGCCACUUCCAGUGGGAACUGCCUCCAGGACCACCUUCCUACACUGGGACUGCCUCACGGCCCAGACUGAAGCUGGACACACCUGGGCGUUCGCAACAGCUGCUCCCCUGCCCCACCUCCCACCCACCAACCAGUCAGCAGCCAGUCACUGGCCUCAGGUCACAGAACAUCUGGUGGUCCGCAGGGAAUAUUACCUUCUCUCUUUCCCAUACCUCCUUCUCCCCCUUGCUUAUUCUUCCUGUGUUCCCAUGGGAAGGAAGAAGAGAAAAGGGUUAUUUCCUAGUGGGACUUCUCUGACAAAUUGGGUGUCUCCUCUUUUGGCCAAAAGUACAGUUCCCUUAUAAGAACACUCCCCUAUCCUGGGCUGUUCCUGAGUUACAUGCCUUAUCUGUCUCAUAUGAGUCAGUUAGGGUUCUCCACUGGCCCCAUUAGAGAGGGAAUCCAUCCCUACCAUUUCAUUACCCCUCCUUUGGUAGUUCUUUGAAAGAAAAUGAAGCUUUAUGUAUGAAUGAUCCCCAGCAGGUGCUCUCUAAUGCAUGAGUCUUUUUGCCCCACAUUGAAGAGGUCUCCAAAAGUCCAGCAGUGAGUAACCCCAUCCAUGCUCUAAAUUUCCAUUUCCUCUCCCUCCCCUCCUGCACCCUCUCCCUCCUCUCUCUCCAUUUUCUCCUCUCCCUCAGCUUCUGAAAAGAGGACCAAGUCUUUACUGCUCAGAGGAUAGGGAGGUGGGGAGGAAAGAUGAACUAGCCUCUUCAGCAAAGUGUGGCAGUCAGCAUGGACUCCAAAACAAGACCUUCUGGGUUCCAGUCCUAGCUUUACGAUUUACUAGCUGGUUGUGUUGUUUUUUUACCUAUUUUCCAUUAGCAAUAAAUUCAUCCUUUCACCCUUCUCUAGAAUGUAUGACACUGAGCUAGCAGUCUACGAAGUGUAUUUCCAGACCCCCUUGCCUAGUAGCCUACCAUUCUACAGACUGAAGAAAAGAGGAAGGGGGACUUCUAGCUCCUGUCUACAUCACUACAGCAGCAGAAGACAGCUAUGGUCCAACUUCCUAAUCCCUCUGGUGCUCAUGGCAUCACCCUUAUCACACCCCCUUAUCAGCAGAGUUAACAGCAGCCAUGCUAGUGGUGUCCAUCCCACCUCCAUGAUUUGAGUUCCAGAUGGCCUUGUUCUUUUGGCUCCCUGAAUACCUUUCCUAUCUCCGUGGUUCACUAUGUCCCUCCCUUCCCCCAGAUUUCAAAGCACCAAUCAGCCAUGCCUCCCACAGAAGUCUGUGUACCAUGCCUUCAAAACUCCCUUCCAAGACUUAACCACUUGCCCUGCAGAGGUUCUUCCUCCAAGCUCCCAGCUCUUCCCACUCCAGUGAUGGCUGAGCCCUACCCCAAGAGAUUCUUAAUUAAUUGGUCUUGGGUAGGGCCUGGGAUCAAGAUCUUAAAACAUGCUAUUAUGUAUCCAAAGUAGAGAACCACUGCAAUAAGUCAUUUUACAAAGAAUGAGAAAGGUCUUAUGCAGAUGCACCCACAUAUUAUCACACUAGUUCUCUAAGACUAUCAGCACAUUUGCAAAAAUGUUGUUCACAGGUAAGGUGGAAGCAAGGAUAGGUGUGUAAUUAAUUUUUGAAGUCAGAAGGUACAUACCAAAAUUCCAUACUCCCAGCACUAAAUUGGGUACUACUCAGGACAGAAGGAAGUGAAAGACAUGGUUCCUGAUCAUCAGAUAACUUUAGUUAGAGAAGUCAAGAUUAAUAAACAUGAGUGUCACUUAGGCAGUACAUAUACUUAAACUGGAAUGAUACAGAGAUUAGCAUGGCCCCUGCGCAUGGAUGACACAUAAAUUCAUGAAGCAUUCCAUAUCUUUUCUUGGGAUAGAAUAUUUUGGAAGGUUAUAUGAGAAGGAGAAUGUAUAUGUAUGUAUGACUGGGUCACUUUGCUGUGCAGCCAAAAUUGACACAGCAUUGUAAAUCAACCAUACUUUAAUAAAAAAUUAAAAUUAAAAGGAAGUCAAAAAAGAUUAAUACACAUGAAAAAAUGAAGGCCUGAUACAGAGACACAAAGGAGGUAAUUGGCAUGAAAAUACAAAAUCCAACAGAGAUAGUUUAGUUUAGCAUUAAAAACAAUGCUUCCCUUUCUUUUAGGACUCACCAAAACAGGUGAUCAGGUCCACCUAUGGGUCUCGAAUUAGAUCGCAAAUGCUGAGCAUUAGAAUCAGCAGAGUCAUGUUAGUUUAGGCUUCUCAUGGUCCAGAGCCAGUCUGCUGGGUUGAGGGACCUUGAGAUCACAUCCUCUCAUGAGCACCCCAAAAUCACAACUACUGAACAGCCAUGGGUGAAAAGUGACAGGAACCUACCAAAAUUCUCAAGCCCCACCUGAAUAUUUCUGAGUCAGAGGGGCUUAGCAAUCUGCAUUUUAACUUUCCAAGUGAUUUUUUAACUCUCCAAGUGAUCCCAAAUGAGGUUGUUUUCCAAUCAUCCAUAGAAAAAAACUGGAUUAGGGAUUACUCCCUUUCUUUAGCAAGCAGUGUCCUGUGUGUGGGAUCCAGGGUCUGACCUCUCAGCCCAUUGCCCAACCCCCCUCCUUGCCUGAGCUCCUGACCUCCUUGUCACAAAUAAUCUUCAGGACCAAACUGCCCUUUCAAGACUUGAACAAGAUCUCUAAACCAAUCCCAGCUCUAAUCUCUAUCCUCACCUAAUUGUUGCUGACCUUGGAGUCUACUGAGUCCACCAGCUCCUGGGGCUUUCUGCAAUGUUUCUUACAUGCCUACCUCCAGCCUUGUCUCCUUGCUUUUAACCUUGCCUCUGAAGCUCAGCAAGGCUUCCUCAGGCCAGAUGGGUCCUUUCUGGAAAGUGAGGCUCCCUCAGGCCAGAUGGGCUAAUAUCCUCUGGGUUGUCCUUUCUGGAAAGUGAAGUUUUCUCUGUACUCUGCAGUUUGGAACAGAGUGACACUAAUAGGCCAUUCUGGCCACCAAAACUCAUACCCUUAGCCUCAUCAAUUGAGAGCUUUGAGCUAACCAGCUAAUGGCAGGAAAACAUAUUCAAUUAUAGAAAUUACCAAAUUAUGACUCCUCCCUCUUGGGGAGGAAACUAGAAAGAGCUAACGGGCUUUGUGCUGUUCUGAAUAAUAAUACUACAUGUGUAAGACAGUUUCUGCAUCACAAAACCUCUCACGUGUCCUACCUCUGUUGAUCCCUUCAACAACUUCGUAAGGGAGGCCCUGCUGUUAUUUUCACGCCCGCUUUGUGAUUGAGGACACUAGGGCCCUAGGGCUUGCUUUGGAAGACUGAUGGCCCUCCAGAAGACUAUUCCGUCAUCAACUGGCAUUCCUCAGGGUCCAGAGAGCCCUACAGUAGGGAUAAUGGGCAUCCAGGCUGUGCCAGGCACUUCACAUGUAUUAGCUUUCUUGACUCCCCUGGCUCAUGCCUCUCCAGACCCACUGGCUUCCCUGCCAUCCCUCCAACAGGCCAGACACCUCCUGCCUCAGGGCCAUUACCUUUGCUGGUCUCUGUCUGGGAUGAGCCCCUUCCAGAGGCCUAUGGAACUGACUUCCUUCCUUCAUUCUUUCCCUCCUUCCUUCCACCCAGACUUUAGUCAAAUAUCCCUUUCUCCAUGCAGCCUUCCCUGACCAACCCCCUUAAAAUCCCAACUCCCCACCACCAAUUCCUGCCCCUUCCCUGAUUUUUUUUUCACCAUUUGACACAAUAUUUAUGUUCUUUAUUGUCUAGUUCCCCCACAAUAGGAUAUAAACUUCAGGAGCAUGGAUUCUUAUCUGUCAUGUUCACCGCCUAGAGUAGGCAGGCAAUACAUAUUUGUCAAUUGAGGACACUGUAUCAUCCAAGCCUUCAGCAUUCCUGCAGGAUAUGUGUUAUUAGUUCCACCUUAGAGAUGAGAAAAGUAAGACAAAGAUUUUAGGUGACCUGCACUCAAUCUAGAUUUGCCACAUUUAGCAAACAAAACUAUAGGAUGCUCGAUUAAAUUGGAAUAUCAGAAAGAAAAAAAAUAUAUUGUAUGUAUGUUACAUACUUGGGACAUAACACAGAAAAAUCUGAAAUUUUAUCUAAAAUUCAAAUGUAACUAGACAUCCUGUAUUAUAUCUGAUUGCUACUAAAUCCCAUUAUAAGAAAGAGACAGAGCUGGGAAUCUCACCCUGUUUCUUUGAUCCCCAAAUCCCUGCCCAAAGCCCAAAGUCUCUCAUUC
rnacentral:lncRNA from 1 species